CACCGCGGUUAUACGUGUGGCCCAAGUUGACCAAAUCCGGCGUAAAGGGUGGUUAAUAAUAGAGACACUAAAGCCAAACAUCUUCAAAGCUGUCAUACGCCUCGAGGAAAGGAAGCCCCUUCACGAAAGUAGCUUUAAGUAUUUGACCCCACGGAAGCUAGGAAA
rnacentral:rRNA from 1 species